CAAGCCCAGGAAAGCCGCCGUUGGUAACCGUAACUGUACCCUGCAGAUGGCGGAACACAGCUUCGCAGGUGCUUUUGAGCAUGCCUAUCAGAAACCCCCACCCGGCCCCGCCCAGCCGCCGCGCUGUUAGAGGUCAGCGUUCCGAGUGGAAAGGGUUUUCAAAAGGUGAUGGAUGGUUCAGCGCUUGAGGGCGCUGAGGUGAAUUUGAGAGUUUGGUUUCUGUCAGAUGGUGCCCAGAUGUAGACCUCAGAGAUGACUCAAGACCUCCAGAAGGAGUAGCUUGAACUUGGUACCAGAUACCGGCAUGGCCUCCUUGGGCCCCAUGACUCGAACCUUGCUCUUGGGUGGAACUGGGUUUCUUGGAGCCUCUGCAGAGUAUUGGGGGCCAGACCCCUUAGUGGGAACUGCAAGAUCUUCCUUCCAACCUCAACUUCCUUCACCCCAGCAGCUCUGGUUGAGUCCACAGGUGCCAGCCCAGCUUCAAGCUCCUGGGACGAGUGGAGCUGUCAGCAGGACAGCCUGAGGCCUGAGGCCCAGUGUGGACAUGGCAGCUAAUGGAGAUGCUCCCCCGUGGUCCUCAGCCCUGGCUGCAGAGGGACACGGCAGCUCAUGUGAGGUGAGGACAGAGAGGACCCCAGGGGCAGGAAUUCAUUCAGUGAGGAGAUACCCCUGACCUGUCCCCAGGGCCUCAGUGCAGGGACAGGUAAGUCACAGGAAAUGGCAGAUUCCGGACUUGCUGCCCCAGAAACAGAUCAGGAUUCUCCACUGAGAGUGAGCACCACAUGGCUGAUGUCACCACAUCCAGAGCCCUGUGGGUUUCAGCAGAAAAUGUGACUUGGCUGAUGGAGGAGGGGGAUGUGGAGGGUCCAGCCCCAUGGCCUAGGGGAGAGAGAGGCAGCUCCCUGCUGAUUCCAGACUCUGAAAGGUACCCUUUCACCUGUACCUUUUCACUUCCCAGCUCUGAAUUCAUAGAUUGCUUUUCUUUCCAAAAUAGAACCAAAAAAAUAAAAAACCUAGUCU